UACGGAGGGUGCAAGCGUUGCUCGGAAUUAUUGGGCGUAAAGGGUAGGUAGGUGGUCUCAUUUGUCUGGGGUGAAAUCCUUGGGCUUAACUCAAGAAGUGCCCCAGAAACGGUGAGACUAGAGUACUGGAGAGGCGAGUGGAAUUCCCGGUGUAGCGGUGAAAUGCGUAGAGAUCGGAAGGAACACCAGUGGCGAAGGCGGCCGCCUGGGCAGUAACUGACGCUGAUGCGCGAGAGCGUGGGGAGCAAACAGG
rnacentral:rRNA from 1 species